CUCAAUUAGGAAAUCAAAACAAACCCGUAAAAAAGUUAACUUGAGACAAACAGAGCUCAACCGUUCAAAUACGGUUUAUAGCGUGGGAAGUUGCGUAUCUACACAGGGGAGUAAACAAUCAAGAUCAUCCGACAAAAACAAAAGUCAUAACAAUCACAGAAAAACUAACAAUGAGGGUUUUUGUACGGGUCUCUCGAUGAGAGACAAAAUAGGAU
rnacentral:lncRNA from 1 species